rnacentral:rRNA from 1 species
GCUCCAAUAGCGUAUAUUAAAGUUGUUGCAGUUAAAAAGCUCGUAGUUGGAUUUUUGGCGCGUGCGCUCCGGUCUGCCGCGAGGCGUGCACUGGGCGCGUGUGCCUUCCUUCUGGAGCCUUCGCGUGCCUUUGGUGGGUGUGCGUUGGAUUCAGGACGUUACUGUGAAAAAAUUAGAGUGUUUAAAGCAGGCCUGUGCUU